rnacentral:rRNA from 1 species
AAAUGAAUAGACGGGGACCCGCACAAGCAGUGGAGUAUGUGGUUUAAUUCGAAGAUACGCGAAGAACCUUACCAGGGCUUGACAUCCCGUGCAUAGCUAAGAGAUUAGUGAAGUCCUUCGGGACACGGAGACAGGUGGUGCAUGGUUGUCGUCAGCUCGUGUCGUGAGAUGUUGGGUUAAGUCCCGCAACGAGCGCAACCCCUAUUGUUAGUUGCCAGCAUGUAGAGAUGGGCACUCUAGCGAGACUGCCGAUGACAAAUCGGAGGAAGGUGGGGAUGACGUCAAAUCAUCAUGCCCCUUAUGUCCUGGGCUACACACGUACUACAAUGGUCGUUAACAGAAAGCAGCGAUACCGCGAGGUGGAGCGAAUCUAAUAAAAACGAUCUCAGUUCAGAUUGCAGGCUGCAACUCGCCUGUAUGAAGUCGGAAUUGCUAGUAAUCGCGAAUCAGAAUGUCGCGGUGAAUACGUUCCCGGGUCUUGUACACACCGCCCGU